rnacentral:rRNA from 1 species
AGUCGAACGCGUGUAGCAAUACACGAGUGGCGCACGGGUGAGUAACGCGUGGGAACCUGCCCAGUGGUAGGGAAUAACUGCGGGAAACUGCAGCUAAUACCCUAUACGCCCUACGGGGGAAAGUUUUUCGCCAUUGGAGGGGCCCGCGUCGGAUUAGCUAGUUGGUGAGGUAAGAGCUUACCAAGGCGACGAUCCGUAGCUGGUCUGAGAGGAUGAUCAGCCACACUGGGACUGAGACACGGCCCAGACUCCUACGGGAGGCAGCAGUGGGGAAUAUUGGACAAUGGGGGCAACCCUGAUCCAGCAAUGCCGCGUGAGUGAUGAAGGCCUUAGGGUUGUAAAGCUCUUUCGACGGGGACGAUGAUGACGGUACCCGUAGAAGAAGCCCCGGCUAACUUCGUGCCAGCAGCCGCGGUAAUACGAAGGGGGCUAGCGUUGUUCGGAAUUACUGGGCGUAAAGGGCGCGUAGGCGGUCUUGUAAGUCAGAUGUGAAAGCCCCGGGCUCAACCCGGGAAUAGCAUUUGAUACUGCGAGGCUUGAGUCCGGGAGAGGAUGGCGGAAUUCCCAGUGUAGAGGUGAAAUUCGUAGAUAUUGGGAAGAACACCGGUGGCGAAGGCGGCCAUCUGGACCGGUACUGACGCUGAGGCGCGAAAGCGUG